CUACGGGGUGCUCCAGUGGGGAAUAUUGGACAAUGGGCGAAAGCCUGAUCCAGCAAUGCCGUGUGUGUGAUGAAGGCCCUCGGGUUGUAAAGCACUGUCAGUGGGGACGAAUUGCUUCGGGUCACGCCGAAGAGUGACGGUACCCACAGAGGAAGGACCGGCUAACUCCGUGCCAGCAGCCGCGGUAAUACGGAGGGUCCAAGCGUUGUUCGGAAUCACUGGGCGUAAAGCGCGUGUAGGCGGUUUCGUCAGUCGGAUGUGAAAUCCCGGGGCUCAACCCCGGACGUGCAUCCGAUACUGCGAAACUAGAAUCCCGGAGGGGGUGGCGGAAUUCCUGGUGUAGAGGUGAAAUUCGUAGAUAUCAGGAGGAACAUCUGUGGCGAAGGCGGCCACCUGGACGGGCAUUGACGCUGAGACGCGAAAGCGUGGGUAGCAAACAGGAUUAGAUACCCGCGUAGUC
rnacentral:rRNA from 1 species